AGCAGUCAAGAGGAACAUCGACAGGUAGUGAGCGCUGAAGCCCCCGGUCGGGGACACCUCCUCGCGCUUGAACUGCUGGAGCAGCUCCUCCUCGGGCUCCGACAGCUUCGGCUUGCCGUACGCGUUUUUCAGUGCCCCAUUGGCUAAAUUCAACUAGACACUAGACACCAAGGGAGCCCCCGGAUCUAACCCAUAAACGACGUGGAGAAGGAGCCAGGUGAUGUACAAACUAGAUGUCUUCACUCCACCCCUCAGCCCUUUGCCAUCCCUCAGCAUCACCAGACAAAGACUCAGGGAAGGAAGGAGUCACUUUGUGGUGGUAGCAGUUGCAUUCCUAUUGACACCAAAACAAGGCCGUGAAAAGGACAGGUGUCUGUGUUCUAGGGUGCCUGUGUCUGUGGUAACUCUCCUCGUGAAGGACUAGAACUCAGAUUAGCAGAUAAGUCAGAGAGAAGAAUCAAGGGAGGAAGGUUCAUAAUGCUCUGGAGACGUUGGAGAUCAGUGAUCACAACGAGGAAUCCCUCCCACUCCUCGGCCCUGAGGACAGUCUCAGAUCUACAGUUCUUUUUCAGCUCCUCUGUCUCUUGUCUGAGGAAGUUACAUUCCUGGAUGAGCCCACCCCGCCAGUCCCCCUCCGAGUCAAACUCCCAGCCCUUCCUUCAGAUCUCAAGGCGUUCCUUCCUGACACCGUCGCUCUCUGGAAAGACUGCAGCAACUCCUACUCUCAACAACAGAAAUGCUGUCAAUAGUUUUCAUCUUUGUGCUAAUGAAAGUAAAAUAUGUCAUUGUUAUUUGCAUUUCUAUAAUUACCAGGGAUGUUGGAUAUCUUUUAAAAUGUUAAAUGGAUAUCUUAUAUCUCUCGUCAGCCGAUGUUUCUCCACACUGUCUGGGAGGAAUUUUAACUAGAGAUUUAAUUGGGACCUGACUCUUUAAUAAUUUGAAAGGCCACAGUCCUAAGCUGUAUCGUGUGCUGACCUGGCAGCAGACUUGGAGUUAAGCUUGCCUGAGGUUGUUCCUUGGCUCUGGGGAGUAUUAGCUACAUGACCUUGUGCAAGACACCUAACCUCAUUGAGCCUCCGGUGUAAACACGCAUAAUGAGUCCCUGAUGUGACUUUUGUGAGGAGUAAAUUAAUAAAACCAAUGCCUUCACCUAUAGAAGGUUGCUCA